CCUAAAUCCACUCUUUCUUUGCCUAUCUAUUGGAAGCCAUCAUUCUUCUCCAUGGCGAGCUCAGUUUCUUCCUCCAUGGAGGGCUUAAUUAUCUUUCUUGGGCUAUUAGGCAACAUCACCACAGGGCUAGUCUACCUUGCUCCCAUAAAGACCUUUUGGAGAAUUGUGGUGAAUAGAUCAACUGAGGAAUUUGAAAGCGAUCCUUACGUUUGGAAGUUAAUAAAUGCCUACUUCUGGGUCUACUAUGGCAUCCUCAAGCCUAAUAGCGUCCUCGUCGCCACGGUUAACGGUUUUGGUGCUGUUUUAGAGCUCAUUUUCGUCUCCUUGUUUCUGAUUUUUGCACCUCCAAGAAUGAGGGUUAAGACAGCUAUUCUAUUUGGGGUUCUGGAUGUGGUGUUUCCAGCUGGAACAGUCCUGAUUACGCAGUUGUUUUUAAAAAGAAAAGGACAGAUAGAUGUUGCUGGAUUCUUUUGUGUUUGCUUUAGCAUGGCUGCAUAUGGUUCCCCUCUUUCAGCUAUGAAAACAGUUGUGACAACCAAGAGUGUUGAAUACAUGCCAUUCCUUCUCUCAUUUUUCCUUUUCAUAAAUGGAGGAGUUUGGACUAUAUAUGCUGUGAUUACUAGUGAUUGGUUUAUUGGACUACCAAAUGGUACUGGAUUUGUUCUUGGGACAGCCCAGUUGAUUCUUUAUGCAAUAUAUUAUAAGAGAC
rnacentral:misc_RNA from 1 species